CAAGCUAUCAGAAAGUUGUAUGGCAACCACCUCCGGCGCCAAAUAGAACUGGCAGACAUAGACAUUCAGUACAAGAAGAAAAAGAUGGAAAAUCUUGCACUGGAGUCCGAAAUAAAAAAGAGGACAAUUAGAAAACUGGACCUUGAAAUAAAAAAACUUGAGAGGGAGCUCCAAGAAGAUGACACAGCUCAAAAUAAAAAUUAGCAAUCAGUACAACCAAGUCAUCGUUUUAAGGCACCAGCCUCUUUUGCCCACCCCCCCAGCACCAGGUGUGGCCACUAGUCUAUAUGAAGGCCCAAAAUUGUGUGUUCCUUUCUGCUCUGACAAUGGCAUGCCCAUUCUUGCGAGAUGUGGUGGAUGAAGAAGCACUUGUGCUGAGGAGAGCCUUCAGGCGAGAAAGGGUCUUCAGGGACCGGUUGGACCCACUGGCCUUCCCUGAUGACCAUCUAUAUGAAAGAUACAGGUUUUCUGCAGAUGGCAUCAGGUAUCUAUGCAGACUACUGGGUCCCAGGAUUAAGCACCGCACU